CAAGUCGUGCGAGAAAGGGACCUCGGUCCUGAGUACAGCGGCGCACGGGUGAGUAACGCGUGGGUAACCUACCUCGAAGUCUGGAAUAACUCGGGGAAACCUGAGCUAAUACCGGAUGAGCCUACGAGGCCCUCGGGUCAUGUGGGAAAAGAUGGCCUCUGCUUGCAAGCUAUCGCUACGAGAUGAGCCCGCGUCCCAUUAGCUAGUUGGUGAGGUAAUGGCUCACCAAGGCUCCGAUGGGUAGCUGGUCUGAGAGGACGAUCAGCCACACUGGAACUGAGACACGGUCCAGACUCCUACGGGAGGCAGCAGUCGGGAAUAUUGGGCAAUGGGCGCAAGCCUGACCCAGCGACGCCGCGUGAGGGAUGAAGGCCUUCGGGUCGUAAACCUCUGUCAGGAGGGAAGAACGGCGGUGGGGUGAACAAUCUCACCGUUUGACGGUACCUCCAAAGGAAGCGCCGGCUAACUCCGUGCCAGCAGCCGCGGUAAUACGGAGGGCGCAAGCGUUGUUCGGAAUCACUGGGCGUAAAGCGCGUGUAGGCGGCCGGGCAAGUCGGAUGUGAAAUCCCGAGGCUCAACCUCGGAACUGCAUUCGAAACUGCCCGGCUCGAGUCCCGGAGAGGAUGGCGGAAUUCCCGGUGUAGGGGUGAAAUCCGUAGAUAUCGGGAGGAACACCAGUGGCGAAGGCGGCCAUCUGGACGGUGACUGACGCUGAGACGCGAAAGCGUGGGGAGCAAACAGGAUUAGAUACCCUGGUAGUCCACGCCGUAAACGGUGAGUGCUAGACGUCGCGGGUAUUGACCCCCGCGGUGUC
rnacentral:rRNA from 1 species